AAAUGAUGGUUUAACUCCUUCCCUUACUA
rnacentral:tRNA from 3 species